rnacentral:rRNA from 1 species
CCUACGGGUGGCAGCAGUGGGGAAUAUUGCACAAUGGGGGAAAGCCUGAUGCAGCGACGCCGCGUGAGUGAAGAAGUAUCUCGGUACGUAAAGCUCUAUCAGCAGGGAAGAAAAUGACGGGACCUGACUAAGAAGCCCCGGCUAACUACAGGCCAGCAGCGGCGGUAAUACGUAGGGGGCAAGCGUUAUACGGAUUUACUGGGUGUAAAGGGAGCGUAGACGGCAGGACAAGUCUGAAGUGAAAUCCCGGGGCUUAACCCCGGAACUGCGUUGGAAACUGUGCGGCUGGAGUGCAGGAGGGGUAGGCGGAAUUCCUAGUGUAGCGGUGAAAUGCGUAGAUAUUAGGAGGAACACCAGUGGCGAAGGCGGCUUACUGGACUGUAACUGACGUUGAGGCUCGAAAGCGUGGGGAGCAAACAGGAUUAGAUACCCCUGUAGUC